GUGGGGAAUCUUGCGCAAUGGGCGAAAGCCUGACGCAGCCAUGCCGCGUGAAUGAUGAAGGUCUUAGGAUUGUAAAAUUCUUUCACCGGGGACGAUAAUGACGGUACCCGGAGAAGAAGCUCCGGCUAACUUCGUGCCAGCAGCCGCGGUAAUACGAAGGGGGCUAGCGUUGCUCGGAAUUACUGGGCGUAAAGGGCGCGUAGGCGGACAGCUUAGUCAGAGGUGAAAGCCCAGGGCUCAACCUUGGAAUUGCCUUUGAUACUGGCUGUCUUGAGUUUGGGAGAGGUGAGUGGAACUCCGAGUGUAGAGGUGAAAUUCGUAGAUAUUCGGAAGAACACCAGCGGCGAAGGCGACUCACUGGCCCAAUACUGACGCUGAGGCGCGAAAGCGUGGGGAGCAAACAGGAUUAGAAACCCUUGUAGUCC
rnacentral:rRNA from 1 species